rnacentral:tRNA from 1 species
CCGGCGGGUAGCCGGGGUCGCGGCCGGCGAUCCAGCCGCCCGGGGUCCUCGGCCGGGGGUGUCCGCUGCCCUGGACGGCGCCCGGCGGG